AAAUCAGAGGGCGCGAUCAGAGAAUUCAUGCAAUCCGCCUUGAAACUUCCAAUAGAGACUGUAAACAAGGUGGCUUUCCACUGAGUGCACAGACUUGGAGCGACAAGACCAAGGGUCCCCGACCGAUCAUCGCAAAAUUUGAACACUACCAACAAAAGGGGCUGAUCAAAAGCAGGGGAAGGGAGCUUAAAGGGACCAAAUUUGGUCUCAAUGACCAAUUUCCAAGGGAGAUAAACGAACGUCGUAAGAGACUGUAUCCGGUACAAAGAAAACAAAGGGAGAAUGAUUGGUACAGAGGUUCCAUGACUCUCCAGGAAGAUCUCUGUAAGAUGUACUACGAAGUCCUCAAGGUCAACAAUCCUUCUCGUACCCCAAGCUAAGGCAAUCACUAUGGCCAUCACCAACUUCUUCACGGAAACUCAGAAGCACUCAGAAGCACUUUGGCCAGAGGAUCAGCGAGCCCUCAAGGACCUACCGGUCACAUGGCAGGUCUCUGUGCUUCUCAUCGUGCUUUCCAUCCUGGUGUUUAUGUACUGUAGCUGGCACGGCAUUAGGGGCUGCUGCGCAUCGGCAGGCCCAUCUGAGAGGUAUAAACCACAACCCACUGGCAGGGGGGGAGGCCCUCAAUGCUCCCCUCCCAGAUACGUGGAGACCCUGAGGAACGACGACUGGCCGUUUAGCAACGUCCAGGAAGAGAUACAACAAGAACCAGUUGUAGCUGGGGCCACAACUGAAGGCAAGAAGCUAAACCCUCUCAAGCUAAAGUCAAACCCAAUGAGUCGGACGUGAUGUCUGAAUCUAAGAUGGCUACUGACGGGGAGUCUAACCAGCUGGCCGAGAGUCAGCCCUCAUCAACUACACAAGGGAAUAAUAUGCUGGAGAAGUCAUCAGAAGAGGUUUCAUCCAUCUCAGGGCAGCAUGGUGAAACUGAUGGUGUCUGUACAAGAGACUGAACCAACGUCGCAAGCACUAUAGAUGAUGUUCUUGUCAUUGACAGCAGUGCGAAAUCUCAAAUCUGUGAGUUGGAUGCCUUAAGCCAUUUUUGAAGAUGCAAUUUAUCAAGAGAAUAAAGAAUACUUUUUAUUUCAUUUUUUGAAAAUGUUUAUCAGUUUACAAUGUAGGCCGUAGUAAUUUUUAUCUGUAAAAAAAAAAAAAAAAGCAGUUUGUUUACCUUUCUCACACUUUUUUGGGCGGGGGAGACCAGCUUUAAUAUUGCGUGUAGAUGGUAGCUUCCAUCAAUGUAAUCGUCUGCAUUAUUUCCAAUCCCCCGUGUGUGUGUAUGUAUGUAUGUAUGUAUGUAUGUGUGUAUAUAUAUAUAUAUAUAUAUAUAUAUAUAUAUAUAUAUAUAUAUAUAC